rnacentral:rRNA from 1 species
ACUCCUACGGGAGGCAGCAGUGGGGAAUUUUAGGCAAUGGGCGAAAGCCUGACCCAGCAACGCCGCGUGAAGGAUGAAAUCCCUCGGGAUGUAAACUUCGCAAGAACGGGAAAAAUAAGUAGGGGACAAUACCCCCUAUGAUGACGGUACCGUUUGUAAGCUCCGGCUAACUCCGUGCCAGCAGCCGCGGUAAUACGGGGGGAGCAAGCGUUGUUCGGAUUUACUGGGCGUAAAGGGCGCGUAGGCGGUCAGCACAAGUCAAUUGUGAAAUCUCCGAGCUUAACUCGGAAAGGUCAACUGAAACUGUGCGACUAGAGUGCGGAAGGGGCAACUGGAAUUCUUGGUGUAGCGGUGAAAUGCGUAGAUAUCAAGAGGAACACCUGCGGCGAAGGCGGGUUGCUGGGCCGACACUGACGCUGAAGCGCGAAAGCCAGGGGAGCGAACGGGAUUAGAUACCCCGGUAGUCCUGGCCUUAAACGAUGAAUGCUUGGUGUCUGGGGUUAUAAAGUCCCCGGGUGCCGUCGCUAACGCUUUAAGCAUUCCGCCUGGGGAGUACGGUCGCAAGACUGAAACUCAAAGGAAUUGACGGGGACCCGCACAAGCGGUGGAGCAUGUGGUUUAAUUCGACGCAACGCGAAGAACCUUACCUGGGCUAGAAUGCCUCUGACAACCCUAGAGAUAGGGCCUCCAAGGUAAAACUUGGCAGAGUGCAAGGUGCUGCAUGGCUGUCGUCAGCUCGUGUCGUGAGAUGUUGGGUUAAGUCCCGCAACGAGCGCAACCCUUAUCUUUAGUUACCAGCAUUAAGUUGGGCACUCUAGAGAGACUGCCGUUGACAAAACGGAGGAAGGUGGGGAUGACGUCAAGUCCUCAUGGCCUUUAUGUCCAGGGCUACACACGUGCUACAAUGGCCGGUACAAACCGCCGCAAACUCGCAAGAGGGAGCCAAUCGGAAAAAGCCGGUCUCAGAUCGGAUUGGAGUCUGCAACUCGACUCCAUGAAGUUGGAAUCGCUAGUAA